rnacentral:RNase_P_RNA from 13 species
AACGAAAAGAAAGAUCAGAAGAAAGAAAAGCUCUCAAAAAUUGAUCAAGUCGAUAACAAAACUCUUCUUCUUCUCUCUUUUCUCCAACUUCGAUCACCUUCCAUUUCUUCUCUUCUUCUUCUUCUUCUUCUUUCUCUGGUUCUAUUUUCUCUUCUGUUUUUGGUGAAGGAGAGAGAGAGGAAGAGG